rnacentral:rRNA from 1 species
UGGGGAAUUUUGGACAAUGGGGGAAACCCUGAUCCAGCCAUCCCGCGUGUGCGAUGAAGGCCUUCGGGUUGUAAAGCACUUUUGGCAGGAAAGAAACGUCAUGGGUUAAUACCCCGUGAAACUGACGGUACCUGCAGAAUAAGCACCGGCUAACUACGUGCCAGCAGCCGCGGUAAUACGUAGGGUGCAAGCGUUAAUCGGAAUUACUGGGCGUAAAGCGUGCGCAGGCGGUUCGGAAAGAAAGAUGUGAAAUCCCAGAGCUCAACUUUGGAACUGCAUUUUUAACUACCGGGCUAGAGUGUGUCAGAGGGAGGUGGAAUUCCGCGUGUAGCAGUGAAAUGCGUAGAUAUGCGGAGGAACACCGAUGGCGAAGGCAGCCUCCUGGGAUAACACUGACGCUCAUGCACGAAAGCGCGGGGAGCAAACAGG